CUGACCAGGGAUGGGAAUGUUACCAUUCGACAGGAAACGGUAGUUGUUGAAGCCUUCGAGGAGCAGGUCGGCUGGACGAGGCGAGAAAAGAAAAACAUCAACAAGAUUUGCAUCCAUUCACUUUAGACACAGAGAGUAAGUGCGUAAGUGAGGAAGAGAUCCAGUCACCUUUUAAAACCCAUUAGCUCACAGCGAGAGUCGGACACUCACUCCGGAGAUGCUCUCCGGCCCCUGCGAGCAGGCGGUAGAAAAUGUGGAAGGUCCUCUCAUCUUUGGCCUGUCGAAUGGCCCUCGACUUCUCCAGAAGGUCUGAGAGCAGAGGUU